rnacentral:tRNA from 1 species
GGGCUGUUAGCUUAAUGGUAAAGCACUCGGCUCAUAACCGAUGAAUCAGAGUUCAAUUCUCUGGCGGCCUA